rnacentral:rRNA from 1 species
GAUGAACGCUGGCGGCGUGCUUAACACAUGCAAGUCGAACGGGAAACAUUUCAUUGAGGCUUCGGCGGAUUUGGUCUGUUUCUAGUGGCGGACGGGUGAGUAACGCGGGGGUAACCUGCCUUGUACUGGGGGAUAACAGCCAGAAAUGGCUGCUAAUACCGCAUAAGCGCACGGGACCGCAUGGUCCUGUGUGAAAAACUCCGGUGGGAUGAGAUGGACCCGCGUUGGAUUAGCUAGUUGGCAGGGCAGCGGCCUACCAAGGCGACGAUCCAUAGCCGGCCUGAGAGGGUGAACGGCCACAUUGGGACUGAGACACGGCCCAGACUCCUACGGGAGGCAGCAGUGGGGAAUAUUGCACAAUGGGGGAAACCCUGAUGCAGAGACGCCGCGUGAAGGAAGAAGUAUCUCGGUAUGUAAACUUCUAUCAGCAGGGAAGAUAAUGACGGUACCUGACUAAGAAGCCCCGGCUAACUACGUGCCAGCCGCCGCGGUAA